CGCACAUUGCGCCCCUUGGUAUUCCGGGGGGCAUGCCCGUUCGAGCGUCAUUUCACCAUCAAGCCUCGCUUGGUAUUGGGCCACGGGGGCGACCCGGACCCCAAAUCUUUCGGCUGGACAGCUCUGAUCUCCGCGUCGUGAAUCAAUUCGCGGGUGAGACGAGACGUUCAACGCCGUCAAAUAUUCAUUCAGGUUGACCUCGGAUCGGGUAGGAAUACCCGCUGAACUUAA
rnacentral:misc_RNA from 1 species